AUGAACGCUGGCGGCGUGCCUAACACAUGCAAGUCGAGGGGCAGCAUGGUCUUAGCUUGCUAAGGCCGAUGGCGACCGGCGCACGGGUGAGUAACACGUAUCCAACCUGCCGUCUACUCUUGGACAGCCUUCUGAAAGGAAGAUUAAUACAAGAUGGCAUCAUGAGUCCACAUGUUCACAUGAUUAAAGGUAUUCCGGUAGACGAUGGGGAUGCGUUCCAUUAGAUAGUAGGCGGGGUAACGGCCCACCUAGUCUUCGAUGGAUAGGGGUUCUGAGAGGAAGGUCCCCCACAUUGGAACUGAGACACGGUCCAAACUCCUACGGGAGGCAGCAGUGAGGAAUAUUGGUCAAUGGACGAGAGUCUGAACCAGCCAAGUAGCGUGCAGGAAGACGGCCCUAUGGGUUGUAAACUGCUUUUAUAAGGGAAUAAAGUGAGUCUCGUGAGACUUUUUGCAUGUACCUUAUGAAUAAGGACCGGCUAAUUCCGUG
rnacentral:rRNA from 1 species